rnacentral:pre_miRNA from 1 species
GUGGGGGAAGUGUCUGUCUAGUUUGGAUUGUAAAAUGUGAACAAUUAGCUGGUCUGACCUUCCUCGCCU